rnacentral:lncRNA from 12 species
GGGGGGGGGGGGGGGGGGGGGGGGGGGGGGGGGGGGGGGGGGGGGGGGGGGGGGGGGGGGGGGGGGGGGGGGGGCCGGUGACCCCCGGCGCACGGCCCGGCCCCUGCCCCGGCGCCGCUCCGCUCUCGAGCGCUCAGCCGGGCUGAGCCUUCUCCCGCUCCGCGGGGUCCGGGUCAAAGCACCCGCUGUCCCAGCGGGAUCUCAGCCGGUUCCUCUCCGCAAAAGUCUCGAACCUCUUUCCUGCCGAAAAACCGCCGGCUGGCCGUGCCUAACGGGAACGCGGCCCGACGGUUCUCCCUCUCCAGGGACGUGGCCUGAAGACUGA